rnacentral:rRNA from 1 species
GAUGAACGCUGGCGGCGUGCCUAAUACAUGCAAGUCGAGCGAACGGACGAGAAGCUUGCUUUUCUGAUGUUAGCGGCGGACGGGUGAGUAACACGUGGAUAACCUACCUAUAAGACUGGGAUAACUUCGGGAAACCGGAGCUAAUACCGGAUAAUAUUUUGAACCGCAUGGUUCAAAAGUGAAAGACGGUCUUGCUGUCACUUAUGGAUGGAUCCGCGCUGCAUUAGCUAGUUGGUAAGGUAACGGCUUACCAAGGCAACGAUGCAUAGCCGACCUGAGAGGGUGAUAGGCCACACUGGAACUGAGACACGGUCCAGACUCCUACGGGAGGCAGCAGUAGGGAAUCUUCCGCAAUGGGCGAAAGCCUGACGGAGCAACGCCGCGUGAGUGAUGAAGGUCUUCGGAUCGUAAAACUCUGUUAUUAGGGAAGAACAUAUGUGUAAGUAACUGUGCACAUCUUGACGGUACCUAAUCAGAAAGCCACGGCUAACUACGUG